UACGUAGGGUGCGAGCGUUGUCCGGAAUUACUGGGCGUAAAGAGCUCGUAGGUGGUUUGUCGCGUUGUUCGUGAAAACUCACAGCUCAACUGUGGGCGUGCGGGCGAUACGGGCAGACUGGAGUACUGCAGGGGAGACUGGAAUUCCUGGUGUAGCGGUGGAAUGCGCAGAUAUCAGGAGGAACACCGGUGGCGAAGGCAGCUCGCUGGGACGUGACUGACG
rnacentral:rRNA from 1 species